rnacentral:rRNA from 1 species
UACAGGGGGUGCAAACGUUGCUCGGAAUCAUUGGGCGUAAAGCGCACGUAGGCGGUCUGUUAUGUCGGAUGUGAAAGCCCUUGGCUUAACUGAGGAAGUGCAUCCGAAACUGGCAGGCUAGAGUACUAAAGAGGGUCGCGGAAUUCCCGGUGUAGAGGUGAAAUUCGUAGAUAUCUGGAGGAACACCGGUGGCGAAGGCGGCAUCCUGGACCAACACUGACACUGAGGAGCGAAAGCCAGGGGAGCAAACGGG